rnacentral:rRNA from 1 species
AGAUUAAGUUAUUAAGGGCGCACGGUGGAUGCCUUGGCACUAGAAGCCGAUGAAGGACGUUACUAACGACGAUAUGCUUUGGGGAGCUGUAAGUAAGCUUUGAUCCAGAGAUUUCCGAAUGGGGAAACCCAGCAUGAGUUAUGUCAUGUUAUCGAUAUGUGAAUACAUAGCAUAUCAGAAGGCACACCCGGAGAACUGAAACAUCUUAGUACCCGGAGGAAGAGAAAGAAAAUUCGAUUCCCUUAGUAGCGGCGAGCGAAACGGGAAGAGCCCAAACCAACAAGCUUGCUUGUUGGGGUUGUAGGACACUCUAUACGGAGUUACAAAGGACGACAUUAGACGAAUCAUCUGGAAAGAUGAAUCAAAGAAGGUAAUAAUCCUGUAGUCGAAAAUGUUGUCUCUCUUGAGUGGAUCCUGAGUACGACGGAGCACGUGAAAUUCCGUCGGAAUCUGGGAGGACCAUCUCCUAAGGCUAAAUACUCUCUAGUGACCGAUAGUGAACCAGUACCGUGAGGGAAAGGUGAAAAGCACCCCGGAAGGGGAGUGAAAUAGAACCUGAAACCGUGUGCUUACAAGUAGUCAGAGCCCGUUAAUGGGUGAUGGCGUGCCUUUUGUAGAAUGAACCGGCGAGUUACGAUUUGAUGCAAGGUUAAGCAGUAAAUGCGGAGCCGUAGCGAAAGCGAGUCUGAAUAGGGCGUUUAGUAUUUGGUCGUAGACCCGAAACCAGGUGAUCUACCCUU